rnacentral:rRNA from 1 species
AGGACGAACGCUGGCGGCGCGCUUAACACAUGCAAGUCGAGCGAGAACCUGGCCUUCGGGCCUGGGGAAAGCGGCGAACGGGUGAGUAACACGUGGGUAACCCACCCUUGGUACUGGGAUAGCCCGGGGAAACCCGGAUUAAUACCGGAUGGCCCAACAGCUCUUCGGGGCGGUUGGAAAAGGUAGCUUCGGCCUCCGACCAAGGACGGGCCCGCGGCGGAUUAGCUUGUUGGUGGGGUAACGGCCUACCAAGGCGACGAUCCGUAGCUGGUCUGAGAGGACGAUCAGCCACACUGGGACUGAGACACGGCCCAGACUCCUACGGGAGGCAGCAGUGGGGAAUCUUGCGCAAUGGGCGAAAGCCUGACGCAGCGACGCCGCGUGGGGGAAGAAGGCUUUCGGGUUGUAAACCCCUUUCAGGAAGGACGAAGCUACUCGGGUUAAUAGCCCAGAGGGUGACGGUACUUCCAGAAGAAGCCCCGGCUAACUACGUGCCAGCAGCCGC